rnacentral:lncRNA from 1 species
AAAUGCUGUCUGAUGAGCAAGGGAUGUCAAUACAAUACGGAAUGUACCAUACCUGCCAGGUUGUCCAUCCUCUGCAUUUUUGGUGCUGUCUCUUCCUUCCACCUGUGUGAUGGUCUUAAAACAUCCACAGCCGGGCACGGUGGCUGGUCAAUUUAGGUAUCUAGAGCAAUCUGGACCAUUUGUUUCUUCCAAAGUUCUACCUA